rnacentral:lncRNA from 1 species
GCUGCAGUGAAUUCUACAAAGAGGCUAUGGGAAAGAAACCUGGAAAGUACCCUUGGCUGUGUACAUUUGAGUAAAGAGAGCACUAUAAAAUCAAAAACCAAUGAAAUGGUUUCCAGAACACAGAACUAUUAAGCUUAAGAAAAGGACAGAAGGAACUGAAGAGAGAGGAACUGUUUUGGAGCAUCACACUUCCACCUCAGAAGAAAUAAGGAAGGAAGGAGGAGGGUGUUCCCACGGCUCUUCAACCAGGCCGGCUCUUCAGCCUACAUCCCCAUCUCAUCAAGUAAAAGGGAUUUUUCAACUGGACCAACCAGAUGGUUUAACAGUGCACUCCCACACCAUUCAACUACGCAAGGGAGAUACACUUAACAUAUGCAGUCGUAUAACACCUACUAACAUUUUCAAACAUUAAACCUUUAAAAAAGAGUUCUAAAGAAAUAGAAGCUUGAAGUAUCAUCUCUCAAGUAUAUAGACACUACUUCAUGGUGUGGUAAUAUAUGCAUAUAGAAGCUAGUAAACACCUCCAGGAGAUGCAAAAGGAAUUAGAACUGCCACAAGGUGCAAGCAAAACCUUGAGGUGAGAAAAUCGAAUUUGGACACCGUUGAGGAGACUAUUGCAGUCAUCCAAGCUCAAGAUGGUGGAGCUUCAUCCUUGAGAAUAACCAAUGGGGAUAGAUUUAAGAGACACUUAGAGUCUGCAGCCAACAGGGCUGAAUGAGCAGAGAGUUAUGAUUCAGAAGAUCAUCUAAAAUUGAACAGCUGCCACUACUGGCAAUAAGUCUACUGCCAUUUGGUAGAUAACCUUCUUAUCACACAGAAAAAUAUCAGUACAGACAAAUAGACCGCAAAGAAAAUGAGACCAUCAGCAAAGAAGAUAAAGAAGUUUGUACAAAGCAACUUUUUAUAAAUGGAUGGCUGUCAGGCAAAAAUAAAUUUCCUGUGGACAAGACCAAGAGCAAGGCAAGAGGAAAAUAAACAUGUUUAAACUAUUGGAGAGUCCAUAAUUUAAAUAUAAACUCUUCUGUUGAGUGG